rnacentral:rRNA from 1 species
AUACGGAGGGGGCUAGCGUUAUUCGGAAUUACUGGGCGUAAAGGGCGCGUAGGCGGUUGAUUAAGUCGGAUGUGAAAGCCCUCGGCUUAACCGAGGAAUUGCAUCCGAUACUGGUCAACUCGAGUGCGGGAGGGGAGAGUGGAACUCCAGGUGUAGCGGUGAAAUGCGUAGAUAUCUGGAGGAACACCGGUGGCGAAGGCGGCUCACCGGGUCUCUUCUGACGCUGAGGCACGAAAGCUAGGGUAGCGAACGGGAUUAGAAACCCCAGUAGUCC